GCGGAAAUAGCUCAGUUGGUAGAGCAUAACCUUGCCAAGGUUGGGGUCGAGAGUUCGAGUCUCUUUUUCCGCU
rfam:Acinetobacter sp. ANC 4603 Contig1, whole genome shotgun sequence.